GACGGAGGAUGCAAGCGUUAUCCGGAAUUAUUGGGCGUAAAGCGUACGUAGGCUGUUUGAUAAGUCUGUUGUCAAAGCCCGAGGCUCAACCUUGGAUCGGCAAUGGAAACUGUUAGACUAGAGAGAGAUAGGGGCAGGAGGAAUUCCAGGUGUAGCGGUGAAAUGCGUAGAUAUCUGGAAGAACACCAGUGGCGAAAGCGUCCUGCUGGAUCUCAACUGACGCUGAAGUACGAAAGCUAGGGGAGCGAAUGGG
rnacentral:rRNA from 1 species